GUCAGGAUGAACGCUAGCGGCAGGCUUAACACAUGCAAGUCGAGGGGCAUCGGGAGUAGCAAUACUGCCGGCGACCGGCGCAAGGGUGCGUAACGCGUGAGCAACAUGCCCGUAUCAGGGGGAUAAUCCAUGGAAACGUGGUCUAAUACCCCAUAGUAAUUAUGUAAGGCAUCUUAUAUAAUUUAAAGCUUUGGUGGAUACGGAUUGGCUCGCGUGACAUUAGCUGGAUGGUAAGGUAACGGCUUACCAUGGCUACGAUGUCUAGGGGUUCUGAGAGGAAGGUCCCCCACACUGGAACUGAGACACGGUCCAGACUCCUACGGGAGGCAGCAGUGAGGAAUAUUGGACAAUGGAUGGAAAUCUGAUCCAGCCACGCCGCGUGCAGGAAGACGGCCCUAUGGGUUGUAAACUGCUUUUGUAUGGGAGCAAUAAGGGCUACGUGUAGUCCGAUGAGAGUACCAUACGAAUAAGCACCGGCUAACUCCGUGCCAGCCGCCGC
rnacentral:rRNA from 1 species